rfam:Loktanella sp. 1ANDIMAR09 PM06_002, whole genome shotgun sequence.
GCGGAUGGCUGGAUGGCUGCGGUCUCGGACUUGAUCCGGGAUCGAGGAAAGUCCGGACUCCAAAAAGCACGGUGCCGGGUAACGCCCGGCGGGGGUAACCCUAGGGAAAGCGCCACAGAGAACAGGUGGCCUGGCAUGUUCAGGUCAAAGUGAAACGGUGGGGUAAGAGCCCACCGCGCGAGCGGUAACGCAAGCGGCACGGCAAGCCCCACCGGGAGCAAUGCCAAAUAGGGACCUCGCGUCGCAAGACGGGGAUGCUUGAGCCCCAGACGGUCCGGGUUGGCAGCUAGAGGGUGUCUGGUAACAGGCACUCCAGAUGAAUGGUCAUCCAUCCGUGGGCAACCGCGGGGGACAGAAUCCGGCUUAUAGGCCAUCCGCGCAU